AUUGAACGCUGGCGGCGUGCCUAACACAUGCAAGUCGAGCGGUAACAGGUGUAGCAAUACAUGCUGACGAGCGGCGGACGGGUGAGUAACGCUUGGGAAUCUGCCUAUUAGUGGGGGACAACCCGGGGAAACUCGGGCUAAUACCGCAUACGCUCUACGGAGGAAAGCCGGGGACCGCAAGGCCUGGCGCUAAUAGAUGAGCCCAAGUCGGAUUAGCUAGUUGGUAGGGUAAUGGCCUACCAAGGCGACGAUCCGUAACUGGUCUGAGAGGACGACCAGUCACACCGGAACUGAGACACGGUCCGGACUCCUACGGGAGGCAGCAGUGGGGAAUAUUGGACAAUGGGCGAAAGCCUGAUCCAGCGACGCCGCGUGGGUGAAGAAGGCCUGCGGGUUGUAAAGCCCUUUCAGUGGGGAAGAAAAGCCUCGACCUAACACGUCGGGGUCUUGACGUAACCCAUAGAAGAAGCACCGGCUAACUCUGUGCCAGCAGCCGCGGUAAG
rnacentral:rRNA from 1 species